rnacentral:rRNA from 1 species
UACGUAGGUGGCAAGCGUUGUCCGGAUUUACUGGGCGUAAAGAGCGCGCAGGCGGUCGUUCAAGUCGCGUGUGAAAGCCCCCGGCUCAACUGGGGAGGGUCACGCGAUACUGAUCGACUCGAAGGCAGGAGAGGGUAGUGGAAUUCCCGGUGUAGUGGUGAAAUGCGUAGAUAUCGGGAGGAACACCAAUGGCGAAGGCAGCUCGCUGGGACGGUACUGACGCUGAGACGCGAAAGCGUGGGGAGCAAACAGG